AGUGAACGCUGGCGGUAGGCCUAACACAUGCAAGUCGAACGGCAGCACAGUAAGAGCUUGCUCUUACGGGUGGCGAGUGGCGGACGGGUGAGGAAUACAUCGGAAUCUACUUUUUCGUGGGGGAUAACGUAGGGAAACUUACGCUAAUACCGCAUACGACCUACGGGUGAAAGCAGGGGAUCUUCGGACCUUGCGCGAUUGAACGAGCCGAUGUCGGAUUAGCUAGUUGGCGGGGUAAAGGCCCACCAAGGCGACGAUCCGUAGCUGGUCUGAGAGGAUGAUCAGCCACACUGGAACUGAGACACGGGCCAGACUCCUACGGGAGGCAGCAGUGGAGAAUAUUGGACAAUGGGCGCAAGCCUGAUCCAGCCAUACCGCGUGGGUGAAGAAGGCCUUCGGGUUGUAAAGCCCUUUUGUUGGGAAAGAAAAGCAGCAGGUUAAUACCCCGCUGUUCUGACGGUACCCAAAGAAUAAGCACCGGCUAACUUCGUG
rnacentral:rRNA from 1 species